GAGCAGAUGGCUCAAUGGGUGUGCAGGAGACCUCUCCCUGAGUUUAGGGAGAGGUUUUUAAAACAGAAGAAGUUUGAGUAAUUUAAAUGAUGAUGGGAAGGAGCUAAAAGUGGGGGAUAGGUUAAAGAUACAGGAAAGUGGGAGGAAGAACCGACAAGUGAGGUUCCAGAGAGGGCAGGAGAAGAGGAGAUUCCCAUAGGGGGAUUAACACUUUCUUUUCUUUUUUCUUUCUAAGACAGGGUCUCACUCUGUCACCCAGGCUGGAGUGCAGUGGCACAAUCUUGGCUCACUGUAGUGUAGACUUCCCAGGCUCAAGGGAUUUCUCCCACCCCAGACUCCCAGGUCUCACACUGUCACCCAGCCUGGAGUACAGUGGCACAACCUCUGCUCACUGCAGCCUCCACCUGCCAGGCUCAAGCAAUUCUCCUGCCUCAGCCUCCCGAGUAGCUGGGAUUACAGGAAGUGAGCUCACAAUGACUCAAGCUGCCACAUACUGCUGAUUGUGAAAUGCCAGUUGAAGCAUAUGUCCUGCGAGCUUAGGGGUGCUACAAGUUGACCACUGCAGCAGUAAAGAUGACUCUGAAGAAUGGCGUGGGAUGGAUCCUUUCAAAUGCACUUGAGCAGCGGUCUCCAACCACAGGGCCACAGAGCUGGAGGUGAGCAGCAGGCGAGUGAAGGGAAACUUCAUCUGUAUUUCUAGCCCCUCCCAUCGCUUGCAUGACCACCUGAGCUCCAUGUCCUGUCAGAUCAGCAGCAGCAUUAGAUUCUCAUAGGAGCACAAACUCUGUUGUGAAGUGUGCAUGUGAGGGAUCUAGGU